UGCGGUGACCAGGAUUCGAACCUGGGUUACUGCGGCCAAUGUCCUAACCACUAGACGAUCACGGC